AUUGAACGCUGGCGGCAUGCCCUACACAUGCAAGUCGAGCGCGAAAGGGGGCAACCCCGAGUAGAGCGGCGGACGGGUGAGUAACGCAUCGGAACGUGCCCAGUAGUGGGGGACAACCUCGAGAAAUCGAGGCUAAUACCGCAUACGACCCACGGGUGAAAGCGGGGACCGCAAGGCCUCGCGCUAUUGGAGCGGCCGAUGUCCGAUUAGCUAGUUGGCGGGGUAAGAGCCCACCAAGGCGACGAUCGGUAGCUGGUCUGAGAGGACGACCAGCCACACUGGGACUGAGACACGGCCCAGACUCCUACGGGAGGCAGCAGUGGGGAAUUUUGGACAAUGGGGCAACCCUGAUCCAGCCAUGCCGCGUGCGGGAAGAAGGCCUUCGGUUG
rnacentral:rRNA from 1 species